rnacentral:rRNA from 1 species
UACGUAGGGGGCAAGCGUUGUCCGGAUUUAUUGGGCGUAAAGAGCGUGUAGGCGGCCAGGUAGGUCUGCUGUGAAAACUCGAGGCUCAACCUCGAGACGUCGGCGGAAACCAUCUGGCUAGAGUCCGGAAGAGGAGAGUGGAAUUCCUGGUGUAGCGGUGAAAUGCGCAGAUAUCAGGAAGAACACCCGUGGCGAAGGCGGCUCACUGGUCCGGUACUGACGCUGAGGUGCGAAAGCGUGGGGAGCAAACAGG